rnacentral:sRNA from 1 species
GAGACAAAAUUGACUUUUGUGAGACAAAAAUGACUUUUGUCAGACAAUAUUGACAAAAUUGAAUUUUGUCUGACAAAAGUCAAUUUUGUCUCACAAAAUUG